AUGUGGACUGAUGAUCUGAACAUUACUGUUCAUAGUGCUACCUUCCACUAUAUAUUAGCUAAUGUAGUUCAUCCUGCUUCUGGGGUUCAAUUUUGUUUGAUUUGUAUUUAUGGAGACCCGUACCACAAGCAAACUAGUGCCAUUUGGAGUCAGAUUUCCACUUUUGUGUAUGAUAAUCUGGGUAUGCCCAUGAUGUGUAUGGGUGAUCUUAAUGACAUCUUGUAUGAUACCGAUGGUUGUAAUGGUAAUGUGAAUUACUUUCGUAUCAAUGCUUUUCUCUCCCUUGUUAAAAAUUGUGGUUUUUUUGACAUAGGUUUUAGUGGUCCAGCGUACACUUGGCGAGGUAACCAACACACUUCUAAACCUAUUUACCGUCGUCUUGAUCGUUCUUUGGUUAAUGCCGAGUGGUGCAUGCAUUACCCUAAUACUAAAGUCCUCAAUUUGCCUAUUAUUCUCAGUGAUCAUGAUCCCAUUUUAGUGUCUACAGAAGGAAAUUUUGUUAAGCCUAAGCAAGCUUUCAAAUUUGAAAAUUGGUGGUUGAUGGAAAAGGACUUUGCCAGUUUUGCUAAAUCUGCUUGGAACAAUUGUUCUCUAACCUCUUUUGCUGCCAAGACUUCUUCUUUGGCAGGUUCUCUCAAAGUGUGGUGCAGGAAAAAAAGUAUCUACAAUCAGAUCUUUUGGAGCUACAAGGGAAGAUUAAUUAGCUACAACAACUACCAUCACAGCAGCAGGACCAUGCAUUGGAGGCUGAUCUCACUGUCAGGUAUGAACAGACUCUCUCUAAGCUGA
rnacentral:rRNA from 1 species